CUUGUCAUAGCAUUACUGAGAGCUUACACAUCAAGAAGCCAGCUGAAAUCAAUUCAGAAAUGGGUCAGAGGAAAACUUUUGGGUUUAUCUUUGUGCUUCUCAUGAUUUUUGCCUUAAUACAACCAUUUGUGUUUGCAAAACUCACGUAGAUGGAGUCAGGAGCAGAGCUGGAGCUUCGGAUGCGGAAAUGGAAAUGAUGCCACAAGUAGAAGCAAGAGUUUGCAUGUCACCUAACGAGGAAAAGCCCAAAAUCAUACAUGAUAUUUGGCUUUAGACUUAAAGUCAUACAUAUUCUUUCAUAUGGAACACUAAUAGUACAUUUUUAUUAACAAAGUGGUGCACUUUUAGUCAUAACAUUGAGAAAAUGCCUAAAAACAUACAUUAUCUUUGGCUUUAGAUUCAAAAUCAUACAUAUUCUUCCACAUAGAGCACUAAUAGUCUAUUAAUUUUAACAAAGUGAUGCACUUUUAGUCAUAACACUAAACACAUUUUAAUUUUUAACAGAUAUUUAAGAUU